rnacentral:rRNA from 1 species
UCGAACGGAACCUUCGGGUUUAGUGGCGAACGGGUGAGUAAAGCGCAGGUAAUCUGCCGCAAAGACGGGGACAACGUUGCGAAAGUGACGCUAAUACCGGAUGUUAUAUGAGAGGCGCAUGACUUUCAUAUUAAAGAUUUAUCGCUUUGCGAGGAGCCUGCGUCCGAUUAGGUAGUUGGUGGUGUAAGGGACUACCAAGCCGACGAUCGGUAGCCGGUCUGAGAGGAUGAACGGCCACAAUGGAACUGAGACACGGUCCAUACUCCUACGGGAGGCAGCAGUGGGGAAUAUUCCACAAUGGGCGAAAGCCUGAUGGAGCGACGCCGCGUGAGUGAAGAAGGGCUUCGGCUCGUAAAGCUCUUUUCCUGUUGACGAAUUGGUAUUGGAUACAGUUGACGGUAGAUGGGGAAUAAGCCACGGCUAACUACGUGCCAGCAGCCGCGGUAAUACGUACGUGGCAAGCGUNGUCCGGAAUUAUUGGCCGUAAAGGGAGCGCAGGCGGGAUUUCAAGUCCAAAUUUAAAGUUCGGGAGUAAUGCCCCGUGAUGGUUUGGAAACUGA